rnacentral:rRNA from 1 species
GUGCCAGCCGCCGCGGUAAUACCGGCAGCCCGAGUGAUGGCUGAUCUUAUUGGGCCUAAAGCGUCCGUAGCUGGCUGCGCAAGUCCGUCGGGAAAUCCAGUAGCUCAACUACUGGGCGUCCGGUGGAAACUACAAGGCUUGGGACCGGAAGGCUCGAGGGGUACGUCCGGGGUAGGAGUGAAAUCCCGUAAUCCCGCACGGACCACCGAUGGCGAAAGCACUUCGAGAAAACGGAUCCGACAGUGAGGGACGAAAGCCAGGGUCUCCAACCGGAUUAGAAACCCUAGUAGUCC